rnacentral:lncRNA from 1 species
GGUGGCAGGAGUGUCAUAGCACUUGUUUCAGGUAAAGCUUCCUGGUGGGUCUGAGUAGUGAGGACGUGCGUAGGUAUGUCCUGGCGCUUGACGUGAUGUUUUCUUUCUUCUCUGCUUUUUAGUUCCUGAAGCACUGUGGAUGAGACACCAUUGUGGACCCUGGAAAGAAGCACCUCGCUUGUGCCACAAUACCUUCAUUAAUCGGAAACUGGGCAUUGUUUGAGGAAGACCUGCUACUGUCCCUGAGAAGAAGGCUGAGGAUCCAGCCACACCAAGCAGUCUAGGGCAGAUUGAUGCUGGAAAUUUCCCCUGCGGAGAGGAUCAGCAGCUGACCACUUUGCCAGUAGCUGAGGCCUGAGCUUCCAGAGCCUGGAUGCCCAGGGGAAGCUGAGGAAGAGGUUGCUGCAGGUAGAGGGUAGAGCCAAGGAGGACUGGGCUUGAGCCCAGGAGCAGCAGAGACAAGAAGGGAGAACCUGAGGCACGGAGGGGAAACUCACAGCGGGAACGAGAGGCAGCAGUCCGGCCACCCUUCCCAUGGCCUCUAAGCAGGCUGCCGUGAAGGGCAGGGUCGGGAAGCGGAAGCGGGUGGUGCUGACGCUGAAGGAGAAGAUUGACAUCUGCACACGCCUGGAGCGGGGCGAGAGCAGAAAGGCGCUGAUGCAGGAGUACAACGUGGGCAUGUCCACCCUGUAUGACAUCAAGGCCCACAAGGCCCAGCUGCUCCGGUUCUUCGCCAAUUCUGACUCCAACCAGGCGCUGGAGCAGCGGCGCACGCUGCACACACCCAAGCUGGAGCACCUGGAUCGGGUGUUGUAUGAGUGGUUCCUGGUGAAGCGUGCCGAGGGCGUCCCCGUGUCAGGCCCCAUGCUCAUCGAGAAGGCCAAGGACUUCUACGAGCAGAUGCGGCUGACCGAGCCCUGUGUGUUCUCUGGAGGGUGGCUUUGGCGUUUUAAGGCCAGGCAUGGCAUUAAAAAGCUAGAUGCAUCCAGUGAGAAGCAGGUAGCUGACCACCAGGCAGCGGAGCAGUUCUGCGGCUUCUUUAGGAGCUUGACCACUGAGCACGGGCUCUCUCCUGAGCAGGUGUACAGUGCCGAUGAGACCGGUCUUUUCUGGAGGUGCUUGCCAAGUCCCAGCCCAGAUGGUGGGACUAUGCCCAGCCUCAAGCAGGGCAAGGACAGACUGACUGUCCUGAUGUGUGCCAAUGCCACAGGUUCCCAUAGAAUCAAGCCCUUGGCCAUCGGGAAAUGCCGUGGCCCCAGGGCUUUCACAGGCAUCCAGCACCUGCCCGUCGCCUACAAGGCCCAGGGUAAUGCCUGGGUGGACAAGGAGAUCUUCUCAGAUUGGUUCCACCGCAUCUUUGUCCCCUCGGUCAGAGAACACUUUAGAACCAUAGGUCUGCCGGCAGACAGCAAGGCCAUCCUGUUGCUGGACGACUCCAGGGCCCACCCACAGGAGGCUGCGUUGGCAUCUGAUAACAUCUUCACCAUCUUCUUGCCUGCCAGUGUGACAUCGUUGAUCCAGCCCAUGGAGCAGGGCAUCCGAAGAGACUUCAUGAGGCACUUCAUCAACCCCCCUGGGAGCCUGCAGGGCUUCCACCCGCGGUACAGCAUGAACGAUGCCAUACUCAGCGUGGCCUGUGCUUGGAACGCUGUGCCCAGCCAUGUCUUCAGGAGGGCCUGGAGGAAGCUGUGGCCUGCUGUCAUGUUUGCAGAAGGCUCUUCCGAGGGCGAGGAGGACGAAGAGGCCGAGCCUUGCAGUACCAAGCCUCAUAACAAGACUUUGGCCCACAUCCUCGAGCUCGUGAGGGAGGGCCCCUUCUGCCCAGGCCACAGGCUUCCGCCCAGUGCAGGGAGGGAGGUGGAGGAGGCACCCACUGCUAUGCUGCCGGCUGAGGCUGACCGGAAUGCAGACCGGGUGGAGAGAGACGCUGGGGAGGACUCUGCGGCCGAGGUGGCCUGGGAGCAGGCGGCCGCAGCCUUUGAGGCACUUGUGCACUUCGCGGAGCAGCAGCCCUGCUUCAGCACACAGGAGGUGGGGCAGCUGCAUGCACUGCACUCUGCCUUCAGGAGGCGGCUGCAGCUGAGGCAGCAGCCCGUCGCCCUGAGGGCCAUGGUGAAGCUUGAGGCCCGCCAGGAUCACCCGGGUAGGUGCAGGGCCACAGCCCACUCCCCCCUGCCCUGCUCAUCCACAGCCAGUGAUAACUGAUGGCUGUCAUCACACCCAUUUGACCCCUAGGACAUGGGGUCAGUCCUGGGACACAGACUGCCCGCUGGGCGGGAGAGCACGCUCAGAGAGAGCUUAAGCGCUCCCCCAGGGGGUGGUGCCCCCAGCACAUUGUCUCCAUUACUCAGAAGGACCCAGGCCUGUGUGUUUUGGCUGAUUGCAGUUUACCUGUGUCGUUUGCUACGUCCUGUGAAUGGGAGGAGACCCUCUGGAGAGUCCAUGCUACCUUAAGCACACCCAAGCCUCCUCUAUUGAAACUGGGGGCCAGGCUGGGUGAAUCCCGAAUCUUCUGUGGCCUGGCAAACCUUGCUGUGUUGGAUAGAGGUGUGUCUGUCCUGGCAGAGAAGAGCACUGUGCUAGCCCACAGGGGCAGCGCCUCCUGCCCCAGGGAGGCUGGGUAGGCUGAGCUGGCAGUAGUUCAUGUGCUGGGUGGACCCCAAGUCGAGUGUGAGGGCAGGGACUCAGUUCAUGACCUCAAGUGCCCUCAGGCCACACAUCUCCCCAUUGGCACAUGCCUGCUUCAGCCACAGUCAUGCUCAGCAGAAGAGCUCUGUAGUGUCCCCUGUGGCCUGCAGACCCUGCCCUUCAGGCCCAGGCAGGCCCUCUGGUCACCCUCAGGGACCCUGGACUGUUGUUUUUAGCAUUUGGCUCAGAGACCACUACAAAGUCUGUAUUCCAUGCUCCCAGACUUUCAGUUAGAGCCCCUAACUGAAGAAGUCGCCAUCAGGAGUUCAGAGUCUAGUCUUAGGUCUGCACACGGCCACUGAGGACAGUGACACAGGCCCCAGCAGCGUGGAAGCUUUCGUCCUUGCUGUUUCCAGGGCAGCGAUGCUCUGGGGGAAGGCCUGUCUGUACCAGUGGGUGUUGGGAGGCCGACCCUAGGACGUGGUCAUUUCCUCGGCCUUAGUAGCCCUCUGUGGCUUUACCUCUAGCAGCACCAUGCUUCCUGGCUGUGACUCCAGAGGCCCUGUCCACCGCGUUAGCUGCGUUGUGGCCGUGAAAUGGGUGUUUUUCCGAGCUCACUCCUUUGCCCUUGAGCUCCAUUCCUUCUUGGAUUCGCAUCCUGGCAGCUGAAUUGGCACGAGGUUUCAUUCCCCUGCUCGUCAGGUACUCCAUCAAGAGACGCGCUGCUGGGAUCCUGAGAGCCAAGGGACUUACAGGGAGGUUUGUGGUUCUAGUCUGUCCAGACGCUGAGGCCGUAGUGAUGUUGAUAUAGCGCUGUGUUGUAGAAUGUGUGUUUCUUUGAAGCAUGUGGGAAGAUCAUAAAAACCAGAUAGUUUUUGAAGUUUUGUUGCGGAUUCUUGGGGCUCUGUGGCCUUGUGUUGUGUUGCCGUCGUGCUCUGCUUCGUGCCUGUGCGUCUGCGUCAUGCCGUUGCUGGCUCACAGCAGGGAUUGCAGCUGCCUGGGGUUCUGCAGGGUGGAGGGCGGGCGUCACACCUGUUGCUGGCAGAGCCAAAUGUUGGACCUACCAAGCGGAUGUGCACCCUGCUGGCAGCCCUCCCCGACCCCACAGAUGAUCUGUGCUCAUCAGACUCUACGAUCCAGAACCAUCUCACCCUCACAACUGCUCCUGUCCUGUCUGGGUGCUGUGUGGCCACAGGGCACCCCUCCUUCCAGAACAGCUCCAGGGACAAGCCCCCUUCGGGCUGAACCUGUACUCUCUCUUCCUGUCCUCUGCUCUCCCUUCCUGUCCUCUGCUCUCCCUUCCUGUCCUCUGCAGGCUUUUGGCAGCUUCCUUGUGGGCUUGUCACUGGAGAGUUGCAGACUCCACAAGAGAAGGCCUGAGGCGAGUGCUGUGCAGAGGCACAGGUCUACUGCCCGCCUCUGAGUGCCAGGUCCAGGUUCCAUGCUCCCUGAAGAGCCCUGUGCUCUCUGGACAGCUGCAACCAGCCUCUCCAGAAGUCAUGUGGCCCAGCAGCUUAGCCUCAGCACCUUUCCCAAACAGUUCUGGGUGGACUCACCAUGCCCAACUUUACACCUGAGCUGGUGGGAACACGUCUUCCCCUUCCCUUUCCCCAAGUGGUCUGCAGAGCACUGUGAUCUCUGUCCCAUUUAAGUGCCUUCCCCUUCUGACCUGGGAACCUUGGCCAAGUCCACCCCUGCGGGUCGAGAGGGCUGGUGGGCACUGCAGUCCAGUCAGGACCCCGGCUGCUCCAGUCCCCUGGCCACGGGUUUUCUCCCCUUGCUGACCUUUGGCUCCCCUGAGUGCAGGACCUGGUGUGCUUGCACUCCUCUGUCCUACCCCAGUGAGAGGGCUCUAGGGGCAGCUUCCCACCCUGGGCCGCCUGAACGGAGUCAGGGCAGCUUCCCGCCCUCUGUGGGUAUUACUGGUUCAGGGGCCUUCCCUGUCACCUUUCAGACCCUGCAGGCCACCUCCUGGGAGGUCCGUCUACCAAACCUGAGUCCCCACUUCCUGACAGUCUGGAUGAUGGCAGACCUGCAGUGCCCUCAGCAGUACCAGGGCAGGACCAGCCUCUCCACGCCCUCCUGAGAAGUUUCAGGAGUCAGUGCCCUCUGUCAUGGCCUGUCCAGUGAGUCAGGCCUUGUUUCUGGGCCAGUGCCCACAGCACUGAACUCUCAUUGGGAGGAGACCCCAAUGUCUGGUGGAGCGGUCGUGACUUCCCUAUGAAGCUGCCCUGACUCCGUUCAGGCGGCCUCUGCGAGGGAUGUCCACAGCCCUGGGGGCAUGUGAGUAUGAUGUUGGAGAACUUGCACCAGUGGCAGCACUAGGUAGGGCUCUGCCCUCAGCCCUCUGAUGGGGUGUUGGGUCUGUGGCCUGUAUCCGUGCGACAGCAGUGUUGUGGACUGCAUGUCUAGUGUGGGCUCUUGUCCAGCGAGGAGGUCCACAGAACAAGGUAGGGGAGAGUGUGGCUGCAGAGUCGCUGAUCCAGACCUCCGGAGACCAGGCAGGAAGCAGGUCUGAUCUUACUGCGCAGUUACCGUGUACGUAUAGCCAGGCAGCAGCUAAGCAGGUUCAGGCAGCCACCAGUGCAGUGUCUGCUAACUGUCCUCCAGCGGCCAGGCAAGGAUUGGGCAUGCAGCAAGCGCAGGGACUGCAACACGCAGCCUCACACUAGGGCUGUGCCUACGGGGCAAGCGGUGUGCCGCUCACACAGGGGAGUGGUUUGCCACUCAGAUGCCCUUAACGUAUGCCAUGUGUGCAGAACUCCAUGCACGCGUCCCCACAAUGUCUGUCCUUCCCAAGUUCAUGUUGAGAUGCUAACUGCCAGUGGGAUGGCGUUGGGGGUGGGGCUUUGGGAAGGUGGUUAGGUUAGGUGAAGUUGCAGUGUGGGGCACCAUGAGGUUGGGUCCUUGCACGAGGAGAAGACUGGGCCUCCUUACAUCAUUUCAAGACAGCUGCUGCAGCUCCACCACCAUCUACUUCCAGCCUGAAGGAAACAGUCCGUCACUUCUGUGAGCACCCUUCAGCUGCCACCUCACUUCCUCUCCUGCCCCUCAGGCCACGUCCCUCACAUGAGCUCAGCUAGCUUCCAGGGGUCCUGGCAGCAUGCUUGUAGAGGACCGGAAAGCACCUGGGCACAGGAGGGAAGGCCAGUGCAGGUCUCCUGCCUCAGGCCCUCCACAGCCACGUCGGAUUUCAGGUGAGCCCAGGUGCGGGACUCAGUGGGCCUCAGCUCAGGAGACCGGUGUUCAACUCUGAAGUAGGGGAAGAAGGGCGUCGUGCAGAGAUGUGACAGCGUCCGCCCCAGCCCAGAGCUGGCAGAGGAAAGCGGCCAUGAAGCAGCUGCAGACCCCUCUCUAGGAGCUGACUUCAUUUGCUGGGGUGUGAAGUUCAAGUGGAAGGGUGCUCUCAAAACUGAGUGGGGCUGGGGGCUGGGGCGCUCAGUGGCAGAGCAGGUGCCUAGAGUGUGUACCAGGCCUUGGAUUCCAUCCCAGCACCACAUGAGCAAAAAACCAGAUGAUGGGGUGGAGAAGGGCACGGGGAGUCAUUCACAGCUCUACUGGAAAGACAGCAGACAGCUGUCUAGGAGUCAAUUACAAACGCUGGCCUCGGGAACUGUCCCACUGUAGGAGCCCACAUUUGGUUGGGCUCAGCUCUAAAGUAGUUUAUCACAGGGCACUGCUGAAAACAGUUGCACAGUUGGCCACAAGUAGAGGGCCCAGCAGCUGGUGUGGCCAGGGAACCUGCAGUCGGGGAGCACAGCACACUCAAACCACCGUCACUGGGUGACCAGUACCCAGGCUGCGCCCCAGGGAGCAAUCGAGGCUCCUGCAGAGGCUGUGGGAGAGGGUGACUAGUGACCACUGNUGCAUAAGAUAGAGUUUAUCAGAAAAUCCUGUAAGAGCCAAAUGGACACUCUGGAGUUGGAAAGGACAGGUACUGAAAUCAGGCACCCAAAGGUAGAUCUGACCUGGAGCAAGAAAGAAGCAGUGAACGUGAAGGUGAUGGGUAGGAAUGGCGUAGUUGGAACAGCAGUGUCAGAGGGAUGUGGGCACCAGUGUGCACACUGUUGUGACGGGGACACCAGGAAGGGGGCAGGAGAAAGGAUCCAAAGAGCCAGUGGCCUCAGAUCCCCAAAGUCAUUGAAACACAUGUCCACAAAUCCCCAAAGCUUGAGAUCCAUGGUUCCAGAAGAACCUGGCCCAGUGGGUGAGAACUGGCUGCAAGGUGCCCUGAGACGGAGGGGAGGCGGGCACAGCCAAGGUCUUAGAGUGUGGUCCUGGGUGGCAGCAAGACGGGGAACUCUGUGUGCCCCUGAGGCCAUGUGGCGCCUUGACAGAGAGGCCUCCAGGCUGGAGUGCCGAGCUCCCUGCUGCCCACCCUUUUGCUUUCCCUUGACCUUGGGCUACUAUGCCAGCCUACCAGACCCUGUGAGAAUGGGGGCUCCCCGACCUGUGGAUGUGCCACCUGCCACUGCCUCUUACAUGAUUUACAUGGAUGUGGUCCUGGCCUGAAAGCCCUGAGGGCAGCUGGCCCAGUGGAGCAGUGACUGGCACGUAUGUAGUUUGUAUCCUCGGACCUUAAGUGCAUGGGCCAUCUAGCAGGUCUAGACCAGGGCUAGGGCCUGCACAGAGAGGAGCCACUCCACUCUCACGGAGCCUCAAAGUCACCUAACAGUUCCUGGGCUGGCGUGACACAGGUCAGCUCUGCCAGCCACAGGCCAGGGGAAGGGGAUCCAUUCCACGAUGGCCUUGUGCCACUCUCCCCUGCCCCUCUGGCCCUCCCAGAGCCUGCCUGUCUUCUGCCCUGCCCGUUGCACCCCUCCAGGCCUGGUCCCAGAGGCCAGUGUCCUUGCUGCCUGCAGAGGGAAAGGAAGGGGAUCUGGGCCCCAGAGAGCCGCCUAGGGAGGGCUGCCGUGCCCCUGGGGCAGUUGUGCUUUACCCAAGACCUUCCUUGAAAAGUGCUGACCUGCCCUUGCCGGGGUUGGAGAGCCACGCUACCAGGGUGACAGUCACCUUGCAGACGUGGACACGUGGGCAGAAUUGUUCUCUUUCCUGGAAGAGCUAGACUUAGCCCAGGACUUGCAGGGUGUGGUGCUGUGAUGAUCCCGGGCUCCCAGGGGGUCAGAGGCGGGGGCUAGACACCAUGUGUCUUGCAUAGUUAUCUGAAGACAGGGAGGCCCAGGCAGUCCUGGAAGGAGAGGGGCCUGGAUGGGGGCUGUGGCAGUCACUGUUAUCUCCCUAUUAGGGAUGGGGCCUGAACUCAGUGGGAGGAGCCUCUGAGGAUCCACAGUUGGUGGUAGGUGACCCUAUGAUUGGGCCUAGGCCUGUGGGACCCAGGGGAAGGGGAUCCGUUCCACGAUGGCCUUCUGCCACUGGGGUCUUCCUGUGACCCUGGCCCUUGGUGGUAGAACACCUGAGCUCAGGGGUGUGUGGCAGGUCUGGGUCCGUGGAGGGCAGCGGAUUUAAAGCCCUUACCAGGGGAGCCCUCUGCCUGCUUGGCCUCUCCUGGUGCCAGCCCCCCACCAGCACACCCCGUCUCCCCAGAGAGAACCAACCCAUCAUGGGACAGUGGAUUCUAACCCAGGGUUAUGUUUUCCCGAGAGGCCUGGAGUCGGGGCUCCCUCUGCAAUGAUGGGGUCACCCUUCACAGGCUGUGUGUCUUGAGGAGACUCGUAAAUCUUUCCUCACUUGUGAUUCCAGGAACGAGGCCACCAGCCCUCAGUGUACCUUAUUAGUUAACAGCAGAGAGCAGGGCUGGGAUCCCAGGUCUGGGGUCAGCCUCAGAGGGAGGACCUGGGCUGGGAGGCCAUGUGGCUUCCUGUGUGUUGGGUAGGGAAUGUGCCAGGCGUCUGAGGCCCUUGUAGAUACCCAACACUCCGGCCUCCCCAGGCUUGCUUUAGCCCCUCUGCAGGACCCUUGGGCCAGGGUCUCUCUCCAGGUGAGCAGCCCCUGGCCUCCUGCCUAGCACCAGGCUCCUCACUUCAGUGUAUUCCUAAAAUCAGGCAGAGUCCACUCCCCACUGGCCACAGAGCCCCAGUCUCCUGUGCCUGGGCACAGGCACAGUCCCCGCCCCACGGCGGAUCUAGCUCACCCAGAGUGCAUGCUCCCUCAGGACGGGCAGCGAGGUCCGCAGCCCACCCGGGUCAGGGGAGAGGCCUGCUUUCUGCAGCCAGGACGAGUGAGUAGAAGAGCCCUCCAUCAGUGGCCAGUCCUCUCAUUCCCUGCCUGCCCCUCGCCCCAGUCCUCAGGGCGCCUGUGGGGACUCCCUGAGUUGGGACCUCCGUGCUGCCAUUGGAGACAGGUGUGUGCCUUACCUUGGCUUCCCUGGAUGCCAGCCAGUGGGGCUGUGACCUGCAGAAAGCUCCAAGCAGAAGGGGCAGCAGAGACUCUCCAAGCCUCGGGCUGCCCCUGCCCUGGGUGUCUGCCUGCCUGUCCUGGGCCUGUUCCCAUGGGUACUCGGCAAACACUCCCCAGUGGAGGCUCUCGCAGCUCCCCCUGGUCAUCUGCUUCCCACGCAGUGCCACCCAGCGCCAGUUCAUAGUCAAGCAGCCCUCAUGGGGCGGGGGCGGGGGCGGGGGUGGAUGCCAGCCCCUGGGUCCCUUGUGCUGCAGCCAGGCCCUGGGCUCUCCUGCUGAUUGGGUUUAUGGGCUGAUAUCACAUGGUGCAGUGGGCUGGCAAGCCUGGUUUCUGGUUUACAAAUGGGAUCAAAAUGUCAGUGCGCCCUUUAGAAGGACAGGUAUGCCCAUCGCCCAUGUCCAGCGUGGGGCCGUUGAGUGGGUUAUUUGUUAAGUUUUUUUAAUUGUUUAUGCCACCGGCUGCUGUGGGCCUCCACUGUCCUCCCUUCUGGCCUCGCCAGCCCUUGCCCCGAGAGCCCAAGGAUGGGCUGGUGCUCAGUUGCAGCAGUGAGUCUACAGGCCGUCUGUGUGUUGCAGACCAGGCUUGCUCUCCGCAAGACGAGCCAGGCACAAGGGCACCCGCAGAGGAGUCCCCCUUAGGAAACGUUUCAAACAGGCAAAAUCACAGAGGAGAAGAGUGGAGGCGGCCAGGCCUGGGGCAGGGUGUCCCUGUUUAACCUGGUAAGUUCCAUCAUGCUUGAGGGGGAUGCCCAGAAAAACUUAAAUUGAGCAACAAAGAAAUCACUAAUGGGAACUGGUUUUUCAUUUGUUUCAUUACUUACACAUGACAGCAGAAUGCAUUAAUGCACUGUGAUGUACCACACAUAGGUGGGAUAUAAUUUCUCCUCUUUCUGAGUGUACAUGUUGCAGAAUCGCACUGGUCAUGCAGUCACAGAUACACACACAGUAAUAAUGUCUGUUUCAUUCAGUUUCUCUAGUGAAUGUUUUUGUACCCUUGUCUAGUGUAAGAUAACCAUAUUUAUGUGGGUUUGUCUCUGUGUCCUUUAUUUGGUCUACAAGUCUAUUUUGGUGCCAAUAUCAUGCUGUUUUUGUUACUAUAGCUCUGUAAUAUAGUUUAAAAACUUCUAGAACGAAUAAAUGAAUUCAGCAAAGUAGCAGGAUAUAAAAUCAACACCCAUAAGCCAAACUCAUUCCUGUACAUCAGCUAAGAAUCCACUGAAAGAGAAACAGGAAAACUACUCUAUUCACAAAAGCCUCAAAAAAGAUAAAAUACCUGGGAAUCAAUCUAACAAAAGAGUUAAAGACCUCUGCAAAGAAGACUACAGAACACUAAAGAAUGAAAUUGAAAGAAACCUCAGAAGAUGGAGAGAUCUCCCAGCUCCUGGAUAGGCAGAAUUCAUAUUGUCAAGUGGCCGUACUACCAGAAGCGUUAUACAGAUUUAAUGCAAUUCCUAUUAAAAUCCCAAUGACAUUCUUCAUAGAAAUAGAAAAAGCAAUCGUGAAAUUUAUUUGGAAAAAUAAGAGACCCAGAAUAGCUAAAGCAAUCCUUAGCAAGAAAAGUGAAGCAGGAGGCAUCACAAUACCAGACCUUAAACUAUACUACAGGGAACUUUUGAAUAAAUAUUAUUUUAGAGUUUCAUGCUUUUGCAAAAGUAGUAGGUGAAUGACUGGAGCAUUGGGAAUAUACAUGUUUCCAUUCCUGUGUCAAUGAAUGCAAAGGACACACGGCUCCGGACUGUGAUUUCCAGCCUCUUAAUGCACCUGAGAAUGCUGUGGUACUAUUUUCAGGCUGGGAAACUUGAGACUCAUUGGCCAACAGGAUGCUCGGGAAAUGGCGUUGGCAGUGGUCACACAGCCCGGUGCUCAAGGACAAGGGCUUAAACAGUGCUUCUCACGCCCCGUGUGGUCUAGAUAGCCAACCUGGCACAGUCAAUGGCCUGGUGCUUUGGGAUGAGGACCAGGGAGCCCUCAGAGAAGAGGCCAGGGCCACCAAGAGCCCAGCAACAGCAGGAGCUCUGCAGGGACACAGAGGGAGGCAGGGUCUCCCGAGCCCAGGGCGAGUGCCCCCGGAAGCUGAGACCACAACCUGAGAAGUCACACAGGCAGGGAGGGAGGGAGGGAGGGGGGCAAACACCCACCUGGUCCUUUCAUCCUCCCCCGCACCUCCCUGGAGCCCAGCUGGCCAGAGCCCAGUUGACCGGCCUGCCUAGAAGCGCAGAGGCUGUGCUCUGUGGCCAGCAGGCAGCCAGGAAGGACAGGCCGAGGGAAGGGGUGGGGGGAGGAGGACACUGAGGUCUUUUGCCAGUCCCUGGAGGGGACCCAGGCCUGGAAAAGCCAGGGAGAGGCCGAGGGUCAGAUCUGGAGUCGCAGGCCCACAUCCUUGGCCCCCGAGGGAUAGAGUGGGCGUAAUGAGCCGGGGGGCAGCCCCCAUGCUUCAGGAAGUCGUAGGGCCAGGCUGCCAAGGGCUGGGCUGCACCAUCCGGGGUGCCUUUACCUCUUCCUCUUUACCUUUUAUCACACUCGUCGAGCACCGACUGUGUGCAGGCUCUGGGGAUGCCAUCCUGAUAAGAACAGGCCUUGGUGGCCAGGGUCCCAGGCCUGAAGGAGACACGAAGAAAAGGAGGUCCUUAACCAUCUGCUGCACGCUUGCCAUGCGCCCAAGGUGCUCUGGGCACAGCAGGGCAUCAGGCAUGUGUGAGGACCAGGUGCCAUGGUGUCCAGCAUCGGGCUGUCCAGAGACGUGGCCUGGGUUUGCUUCUGGUCUUGCCCUUCUGCACGUGUGUGUCCACGAGGCUUCUGCCUGGAGUCCCCCGGGCGCCAGGAGCACAGCCUGCAGCCAGGCCUGGCGGCUCCACCACGGUGUGGAGAGUGCAGGGACCGGGGCUAGGGACCCUCGCUCAGCUGGCUCAGCCAAUGUCACUCCCUCACUCAUUCCCUCUGUCCCUCACUCAUGCACUCUCCACUCAUCUACCUGUCCAUCACCCAGAAGCCACACCCUUACCCAUCACCCGUCUGCCCACCUGCUCUUAGAUCCAACCAUCCAUUCAUCCAUUAUCCAUCCAACCACAUCCUCACCUGUCUGUCUAUCCAUUAUCCAUCCAUCAUCCACUCACCCGUGCAUCUGUCCACCCAUCCUCAUCCACCCAUCCAUCCAGCAUCCAUCUCCCAACCAUCCGUCCACCUGUCCAUCUACCCAAGCAACUCUGCUGGGCUCCUCAUUGCACGCUAAGGAGUUUUCUUGCCCGUGACACACAGAGGGAGAGUGCCUGAGGACUGGAACUUCACUAUACUUGCGUCCACUCCUCCAGGCCCCCGCUGGGGAGACGUGCAGUCUCUCACCCCUAACUCACGCAUGGCUCACCUCCUGCCCCCAAACAGACAGAGUUGUUAUAUAGUCUAAGAGACUGAGAAAGGCAGUGGGGCUCAGGGUGGGGUUGGGGUCUUUCAGGGAUGCAAGGGUCCACACCUCAGCUACACAGCCACCCGGGGCCGUGGCCAUAUUCCUGCUUCCUGUAGAGCAGUCCAGCUCCCUGGACCUCACCCAGAAAAUGCCAGGCUUGGCUUUCUCUCCUGGCAUCCCAGUCCUUAUUCUAGGACAGAGGUGCUGCCUGGGGGAGUUCCUGUCGUUCCACCAGCCCAGAGUGACCACACUUGGUGGACAAGUCAGCAUGGACUUGAGUCUGCUGUGCUUUCUUCAGGCUCCUCCUGCCCUCUCUGGUUCACUCGUAGCUCACCUGCUGAGCACCACUCGGGGGGCUUGGUGCCUCUGACUGCAGUGUUUUCUUCCACUCAUCCUCCAUCAUCUUCAGCAUCUAUUGAGCAACCACUGUGUGCCAGAUCCUGGCCUGGGCACUGGUAUUCCUCGAAGGCCCCCGAUGAAAAGGGAGUGUGGCUCUCAGGACAAUUGUGGGCGGCCAUGCUACCUCCCAGCCCAGGUGCCGUCGAGGUCCAGGCCCCCAGCCCCCCAAGCUGCCACCCUGCUCCCACCCUCACCUUAGGUUUGGCCAAGGUGGGAUUUGGGAGGGAGAGAGGGGGCAGGCUGGGCUCAGCUCCCCCAACCUAACCCUGGCCAGAGCCAGCAGCACGGCUCGGCCCUGUCCCCUCCUGCCCUUUGCCUGGGUGGCCCCAGAGCCAUGUUGGACUGCGCCUAGGGGGGGAACAGCUCUGGGAGGGGAGGUGCAGACAGCGGGGGACGCCCCAGCCUGAGCAGAGCCCAGCUGCCCAGCAGUCCUCUGACCUCAUGUGGGUCCAGGCUGAGCAGUUCCUCUCACUCGCAGACACCUGGAGAUCAAGGCGGUGGGAAGCCUUCAUCUCCAGGUCUGCGCCACAGGGAUGCUUUGCAAAUGGCCCGCAAGGAAGGCAGAGUCCUUUAGGGAUGGAAAGAGGUCUCUUCCGUGAGAGGAUUUGCUGAGUGUCCCCAGGGGAGGAGGCCAAGGGGCAGGGCACGAUGGGCAGAGAGACCACGGAGGAGGAGUUUGGGUUGUGUCUGCUCCAGGCCCCAACUCAGCUCCCGGCACACGGCGGGUCCCGGGCGGUCAGCAGGUGGACCCUGAGGGCAACAGAGAGGGCAAGGUGUCCUGUGGGCCGGGGUGGCUGGCCCUGCAGUUAGAGCCAUGGCCACGGUGAGCGCGGGGGCUCUGGGGUGCAAGGAGGCCCCAUCCUUCUAGGGGUGCUGUGAAUGUUGAGUGUGUCCCCCAAGGGCUGAAGCCUGGUUCCCAGUGUGGCCAUGGGAGAGGUGCCGGGGCCCUGUGGGAGGUCCUUAGGACACUGGAGUGCUACCCUCUGAAGGGAUUAGUGGUUUGCAGGGGACCUGAUUGCCUCAGCCAGAGGGUUGUCAUGAAGGGCAGGGCUGGCCCUCCCCUAUCUCUGUGUCUGUGACUUCUCCUUCCUACACGAGCUGUCACCAUGGCCAUGAGGCUCUCCAGGGCCAAGAGGAUGGGUGCUGGCACCAUGCACUCAGCCCUCCACACCUGUGAGCUAAUAAAC